rnacentral:rRNA from 1 species
UACGGGGGGAGCAAGCGUUGUUCGGAUUUACUGGGCGUAAAGGGCGCGUAGGCGGCCAGCACAAGUCAGUUGUGAAAUCUCCGAGCUUGACUCGGAAAGGUCAACUGAUACUGUGCGGCUAGAGUGCGGAAGGGGCAACUGGAAUUCUUGGUGUAGCGGUGAAAUGCGUAGAUAUCAAGAGGAACACCUGCGGCGAAGGCGGGUUGCUGGGCCGGUACUGACGCUGAGACGCGAAAGCGUGGGGAGCGAACAGG